GUGUCAGCCGCCGCGGUAAUACGGAGGGUGCAAGCGUUAUCCGGAUUCACUGGGUUUAAAGGGUGCGUAGGCGGGCUGUUAAGUCAGUGGUGAAAUCUCAGAGCUUAACUCUGAAACUGCCAUUGAUACUAUCAGUCUUGAAUGUUCUGGAGGUGAGCGGAAUAUGUCAUGUAGCGGUGAAAUGCUUAGAUAUGACAUAGAACACCCAUUGCGAAGGCAGCUCACUACGGAAAUAUUGACGCUGAGGCACGAAAGCGUGAGGAUCAAACAGGAUUAGAUACCCUGGUAGUUCACGCCCUAAACGAUGAUUACUCGACAUACGCGAUACACAGUGUGUGUCUGAGCGAAAGCAUUAAGUAAUCCACCUGGGAAGUACGACCGCAAGGUUGAA
rnacentral:rRNA from 1 species